CAGAGAUGGCAUAGUUUGUGGUACUUCCAUCACCAUUAAUGCAUGAGACCCACUCCAGCCCCUUCCCUGGAGCCUGGCGGACCCAGUGCAUCCAGUAGCUACCGAAGGUGAAUCCAGAAGCUUCAUAGGAGCAUCUCA